rnacentral:rRNA from 1 species
UUAAGCGACUAAGCGUACACGGUGGAUGCCCUGGCAGUCAGAGGCGAUGAAGGGCGUGCUAAUCUGCGAUAAGCGCCGGUAAGGUGAUAUGAACCGUUAUAACCGGCGAUACCCGAAUGGGGAAACCCAGUGUGAUUCGUCACACUAUCAUUAACUGAAUCCAUAGGUUAAUGAGGCGAACCGGGGGAACUGAAACAUCUAAGUACCCCGAGGAAAAGAAAUCAACCGAGAUUCCCCCAGUAGCGGCGAGCGAACGGGGAGGAGCCCAGAGCCUGAAUCAGCAUGUGUGUUAGUGGAAGCGUCUGGAAAGGUGCGCGAUACAGGGUGACAGCCCCGUACACAAAAGCGCAUGUGCUGUGAGCUCGAUGAGUAGGGCGGGACACGUGGUAUCCUGUCUGAAUAUGGGGGGACCAUCCUCCAAGGCUAAAUACUCCUGACUGACCGAUAGUGAACCAGUACCGUGAGGGAAAGGCGAAAAGAACCCCGGCGAGGGGAGUGAAAAAGAACCUGAAACCGUGUACGUACAAGCAGUGGGAGCACCCUUCGGGGUGUGACUGCGUACCUUUUGUAUAAUGGGUCAGCGACUUAUAUUCUGUAGCAAGGUUAACCGUAUAGGGGAGCCGGAGGGAAACCGAGUCUUAAUUGGGCGUUAAGUUGCAGGGUAUAGACCCGAAACCCGGUGAUCUAGCCAUGGGCAGGUUGAAGGUUGGGUAACACUAACUGGAGGACCGAACCGACUAAUGUUGAAAAAUUAGCGGAUGACCUGUGGCUGGGGGUGAAAGGCCAAUCAAACCGGGAGAUAGCUGGUUCUCCCCGAAAGCUAUUUAGGUAGCGCCUCGUGAAUUCAUCUCCGGGGGUAGAGCACUGUUUCGGCUAGGGGGCCAUCCCGGCUUACCAACCCGAUGCAAACUGCGAAUACCGGAGAAUGUUAUCACGGGAGACACACGGCGGGUGCUAACGUCCGUCGUGAAGAGGGAAACAACCCAGACCGCCAGCUAAGGUCCCAAAGUCAUGGUUAAGUGGGAAACGAUGUGGGAAGGCCCAGACAGCCAGGAUGUUGGCUUAGAAGCAGCCAUCAUUUAAAGAAAGCGUAAUAGCUCACUGGUCGAGUCGGCCUGCGCGGAAGAUGUAACGGGGCUAAACCAUGCACCGAAGCUGCGGCAGCGAACGUAUCACCCAAGACAACUUUACGGAGUUGACGAUUGACGGAGCGAAGCGACGUCAAAGCGUUCAUUAAAGUCGAGUUGGCUUAGGGAUACGUUCGUUGGGUAGGGGAGCGUUCUGUAAGCCUGUGAAGGUGUGUCGUGAGGCAUGCUGGAGGUAUCAGAAGUGCGAAUGCUGACAUAAGUAACGAUAAAGCGGGUGAAAAGCCCGCUCGCCGGAAGACCAAGGGUUCCUGUCCAACGUUAAUCGGGGCAGGGUGAGUCGACCCCUAAGGCGAGGCCGAAAGGCGUAGUUGAUGGGAAACGGGUUAAUAUUCCCGUACUUGGUGUUACUGCGAAGGGGGGACGGAGAAGGCUAUGUUGGCCGGGCGACGGUUGUCCCGGUUUAAGCGUGUAGGUGUGUGUUCCAGGUAAAUCCGGUUCACUUUAACACUGAGGCGUGACGACGAGGCACUACGGUGCUGAAGCAACAAAUGCCCUGCUUCCAGGAAAAGCCUCUAAGCAUCAGGUAACACGAAAUCGUACCCCAAACCGACACAGGUGGUCAGGUAGAGAAUACCAAGGCGCUUGAGAGAACUCGGGUGAAGGAACUAGGCAAAAUGGUGCCGUAACUUCGGGAGAAGGCACGCUGACACGUAGGUGAAGUGAUUUACUCAUGGAGCUGAAGUCAGUCGAAGAUACCAGCUGGCUGCAACUGUUUAUUAAAAACACAGCACUGUGCAAACACGAAAGUGGACGUAUACGGUGUGACGCCUGCCCGGUGCCGGAAGGUUAAUUGAUGGGGUCAGCGCAAGCGAAGCUCCUGAUCGAAGCCCCGGUAAACGGCGGCCGUAACUAUAACGGUCCUAAGGUAGCGAAAUUCCUUGUCGGGUAAGUUCCGACCUGCACGAAUGGCGUAAUGAUGGCCAGGCUGUCUCCACCCGAGACUCAGUGAAAUUGAACUCGCUGUGAAGAUGCAGUGUACCCGCGGCAAGACGGAAAGACCCCGUGAACCUUUACUAUAGCUUGACACUGAACAUUGAGCCUUGAUGUGUAGGAUAGGUGGGAGGCUUUGAAGUGUGGACGCCAGUCUGCAUGGAGCCGACCUUGAAAUACCACCCUUUAAUGUUUGAUGUUCUAACGUGGACCCGUAAUCCGGGUUGCGGACAGUGUCUGGUGGGUAGUUUGACUGGGGCGGUCUCCUCCUAAAGAGUAACGGAGGAGCACGAAGGUUGGCUAAUCCUGGUCGGACAUCAGGAGGUUAGUGCAAUGGCAUAAGCCAGCUUGACUGCGAGCGUGACGGCGCGAGCAGGUGCGAAAGCAGGUCAUAGUGAUCCGGUGGUUCUGAAUGGAAGGGCCAUCGCUCAACGGAUAAAAGGUACUCCGGGGAUAACAGGCUGAUACCGCCCAAGAGUUCAUAUCGACGGCGGUGUUUGGCACCUCGAUGUCGGCUCAUCACAUCCUGGGGCUGAAGUAGGUCCCAAGGGUAUGGCUGUUCGCCAUUUAAAGUGGUACGCGAGCUGGGUUUAGAACGUCGUGAGACAGUUCGGUCCCUAUCUGCCGUGGGCGCUGGAGAACUGAGGGGGGCUGCUCCUAGUACGAGAGGACCGGAGUGGACGCAUCACUGGUGUUCGGGUUGUCAUGCCAAUGGCACUGCCCGGUAGCUAAAUGCGGAAGAGAUAAGUGCUGAAAGCAUCUAAGCACGAAACUUGCCCCGAGAUGAGUUCUCCCUGAGACUUAGAGUCUCCUGAAGGAACGUUGAAGACGACGACGUUGAUAGGCCGGGUGUGUAAGCGCAGCGAUGCGUUGAGCUAACCGGUACUAAUGAACCGUGAGGCUUAACCUU